CACCGACACCCUCCGUCCAAAAAUACUUGUCAUCAAAAUGAAUAAAAAGGGAUGUAUCUAGAACUAAUAUACAUCUAGAUACAUCCCCUUUUAUUUAUUUUGAUGACAAGUAUUUCCGGACGGAGGGAGUAGUUG
rfam:Triticum aestivum genome assembly, contig: Triticum_aestivum_CS42_TGACv1_scaffold_423197_5BS